UCAAGAAUCUUCCUCAAUGGACGAAAGUCUGAAGGAGCAAUGCCGCGUGAUCGAUGAAGCCCCUCGGGGUGUAAAGAUCUUUUAUCAGGGACGAAUUAUUGACGGUACCUGAAGAAUAAGUCACUGCUAACUUCGUGCCAGCAGCAGCGGUAAUACGAAGGUGGCAAGCGUUACCCGGAUUGAUUGGGCGUAAAGCGUCCGUAGACUGUUUGAAAAGUUCUUGGUUAAAUCUGUGGGCUCAACCCAUAGA
rnacentral:rRNA from 1 species